rnacentral:lncRNA from 1 species
CUCCCAUGUGCGAGGGUUCUUCACUGCACCUCUUUUUGUGAUUUUAUUUCUUAUAUUUUUUUAUCUUUCUUCUUCUUCUUUACUUGUUUAUUUUUUACGUUUCAUUCGGCUGCUGCCAAGUCACCUAUUUUGGUUUCUGUUGGGUAGAAUCUCAUUACCUCUUCUUCGUUUUUUUGUUUGUUUGUUUUUUUUUUUUUUUUUUUGUUUUGUUUUGUUUUUUUUUGAGGUGAUUGCAUUGAUCAUGUGGGUGCUGUUAUUGUUGUUGCUGCUGUGCAGUGCUGAGGCCCGCGUGUGCCAAGGAAAAAUCAACAACAAACUCAGUGUUGGAUUUUUGUAUUAUGCGAGUGUGGGUUUUUACUGGCUGUGUAACACUGGAAAUGGUGGUUGGGUUACGUGAGUCUUACCACCGUUAGUUUCUAUUUACAUCCUUUUGUUAAUGUUCUGGAAUGUUGUCAAAGUGUCUUCAGGAGUGUGAAAGUUUAUGAUAAGGGGUGAAAUACUCAUCUUCUAUGGAUGUCACGUUAUUGCGUGAAGGGAUUCAACCUUUUUUAUUUUUGUUUUUGGUUUUUAUACUAUUUUAUUGUUUUAGUGAGUCUAUGAUAUUGUAUGUGUGUUGAACGUAUCGAUUUAUUUGUCAUGUAGUUCAAAGUAAUGUACCGGUUGUUGGAGUCAAUCAUAGCGUCUAAUUUUGAGACUUUACUAAGAUUGAUAGAAUUGAAUUGUGUUCGUUAAUGGUUAAAUUGUAAUUUCAAAUGUCGU